CAGCAGCCGCGGUAAUACCGGCGGCCCGAGUGGCGGUCACUAUUAUUGGGCUUAAAGCGUCCGUAGCCGGGUUGGGAAGUCCUCCGGGAAAUCUGGCCGCUUAACGGUCAGAAUGCCGGAGGAUACUCCCAGCCUAGGGAGCGGGAGAGGCCGAGGGGAUUCCCGGGGUAGGGGUGAAAUCCUAUAAUCCCGGGAGGACCACCUGUGGCGAAGGCGCUCGGCUGGAACGCGUCCGACGGUGAGGGACGAAGGCCAGGGGAGCAAACCGGAUUAGAUACCCGGGUAGUCCUGGCGGUAAACGAUGCGGACUUUGUGUCGGACAAGCUAUGAGCUUGUCCGGUGCCGGAGGGAAACCGUUAAGUCCGCCGCCUGGGGAGUACGGCCGCAAGGCUGAAACUUAAAGGAAUUGGCGGG
rnacentral:rRNA from 1 species